UUUUCAUCAGACAAUCUGUGUGAGCACUGCAAAGUACGCUUCUUUAAGGUAAGGAGGUGAUCCAACCGCAGGUUCCCCUACGGUUACCUUGUUACGACUUCACCCCAGUCAUGAAUCACAAAGUGGUAAGCGCCCUCCCGAAGGUUAAGCUACCUACUUCUUUUGCAACCCACUCCCAUGGUGUGACGGGCGGUGUGUACAAGGCCCGGGAACGUAUUCACCGUGGCAUUCUGAUCCACGAUUACUAGCGAUUCCGACUUCAUGGAGUCGAGUUGCAGACUCCAAUCCGGACUACGACGCACUUUAUGAGGUCCGCUUGCUCUCGCGAGGUCGCUUCUCUUUGUAUGCGCCAUUGUAGCACGUGUGUAGCCCUGGUCGUAAGGGCCAUGAUGACUUGACGUCAUCCCCACCUUCCUCCAGUUUAUCACUGGCAGUCUCCUUUGAGUUCCCGGCCGGACCGCUGGCAACAAAGGAUAAGGGUUGCGCUCGUUGCGGGACUUAACCCAACAUUUCACAACACGAGCUGACGACAGCCAUGCAGCACCUGUCUCACGGUUCCCGAAGGCACAUUCUCAUCUCUGAAAACUUCCGUGGAUGUCAAGACCAGGUAAGGUUCUUCGCGUUGCAUCGAAUUAAACCACAUGCUCCACCGCUUGUGCGGGCCCCCGUCAAUUCAUUUGAGUUUUAACCUUGCGGCCGUACUCCCCAGGCGGUCUACUUAACGCGUUAGCUCCGGAAGCCACGCCUCAAGGGCACAACCUCCAAGUAGACAUCGUUUACGGCGUGGACUACCAGGGUAUCUAAUCCUGUUUGCUCCCCACGCUUUCGCACCUGAGCGUCAGUCUUUGUCCAGGGGGCCGCCUUCGCCACCGGUAUUCCUCCAGAUCUCUACGCAUUUCACCGCUACNNNNNNNNNNNNNNNNNNNNCCUGGAAUUCUACCCCCCUCUACAAGACUCAAGCCUGCCAGUUUCGAAUGCAGUUCCCAGGUUGAGCCCGGGGAUUUCACAUCCGACUUGACAGACCGCCUGCGUGCGCUUUACGCCCAGUAAUUCCGAUUAACGCUUGCACCCUCCGUAUUACCGCGGCUGCUGGCACGGAGUUAGCCGGUGCUUCUUCUGCGGGUAACGUCAAUUGCUGCGGUUAUUAACCACAACACCUUCCUCCCCGCUGAAAGUACUUUACAACCCGAAGGCCUUCUUCAUACACGCGGCAUGGCUGCAUCAGGCUUGCGCCCAUUGUGCAAUAUUCCCCACUGCUGCCUCCCGUAGGAGUCUGGACCGUGUCUCAGUUCCAGUGUGGCUGGUCAUCCUCUCAGACCAGCUAGGGAUCGUCGCCUUGGUGAGCCGUUACCUCACCAACAAGCUAAUCCCAUCUGGGCACAUCUGAUGGCAAGAGGCCCGAAGGUCCCCCUCUUUGGUCUUGCGACGUUAUGCGGUAUUAGCCACCGUUUCCAGUAGUUAUCCCCCUCCAUCAGGCAGUUUCCCAGACAUUACUCACCCGUCCGCCACUCGUCAGCAAAGCAGCAAGCUGCUUCCUGUUACCGUUCGACUUGCAUGUGUUAGGCCUGCCGCCAGCGUUCAAUCUGAGCCAUGAUCAAACUCUUCAAUUUAAAAGUUUGAUGCUCAAUGAAUUAAACUUCGUAAUGAAUUACGUGUUCACUCUUGAGACUUGGUAUUCAUUUUUCGU
rnacentral:rRNA from 1 species